rnacentral:rRNA from 1 species
AGGUUGGCUUAGAAGCAGCCAUCCUUUAAAGAAAGCGUAAUAGCUCACUAGUCGAGUCGGCCUGCGCGGAAGAUUUAACGGGGCUAAACUGAUAACCGAAGCUGCGGACGCAUACUUGUAUGCGUGGUAGAGGAGCGUUCUGUAAGCCGUUGAAGGUGCAUUGUAAAGUGUGCUGGAGGUAUCAGAAGUGCGAAUGCUGACGUGAGUAACGAUAAAGCGGGUGAAAAACCCGCUCGCCGGAAGAUCAAGGUUUCCUGUCCAACGCUAAUCGGGACAGGGUUAGUCGGUACCUAAGGCGAGGCCGAAAGGCGUAGUCGAUGGAAAACAGGUUAAUAUUCCUGUACCGCUAUAUACUGCGAUGGGGGGACGGAGAAGGCUAGGUGAUCAGGGCGAUGGUUGUCCCUGUACAAGCUUGUAGGGAGAUCUCUUAGGUAAAUCCGGGAGAUCAUUAUCCUGAGGAGUGAUGUCGAGCUCAAUUGCGAGCGAAGUCAUUAAUGCCAUGCUUCCAAGAAAAGCCUCUAAGCUUCAGGUAUAUAGAGACCGUACUCCAAACCGACACAGGUGAUCAGGUAGAGAAUACCAAGGCGCUUGAGAGAACUAUGGUGAAGGAACUAGGCAAAAUGGUGCCGUAACUUCGGGAGAAGGCACGCCGAUUUUGGUGAUGGGAUUUACUCCCUAAGCUGAGGUUGGCCGCAGAGACCAGGCCCCUGCGACUGUUUAUCUAAAACACAGCACUCUGCAAACUCGUAAGAGGAAGUAUAGGGUGUGACGCCUGCCCGGUGCCGGAAGGUUAAUUGAUGGGGUUAGCUUCGGCGAAGCUCUUGAUCGAAGCCCCGGUAAACGGCGGCCGUAACUAUAACGGUCCUAAGGUAGCGAAAUUCCUUGUCGGGUAAGUUCCGACCUGCACGAAUGGCGUAACGACGGGGGCGCUGUCUCCACCAUAGACUCAGUGAAAUCGAAAUCGCGGUGAAGAUGCCGUGUUCCCGCGGCUAGACGGAAAGACCCCGUGAACCUUUACUAUAGCUUGGCACUGAACUUUGAAUCUAUCUGUGUAGGAUAGGUGGGAGGCUUUGAAGCGUUAUCGCUAGAUAGCGUGGAGCCACCCUUGAAAUACCACCCUGGUAUAUUUGAGGUUCUAACUCUGACCCAUUAUCUGGGUCGAGGACAGUGUCUGGUGGGUAGUUUGACUGGGGCGGUCUCCUCCCAAAGAGUAACGGAGGAGCGCGAAGGUACACUCAGCAUGGUCGGAAAUCAUGCUAUGAGCGCAAAGGUAGAAGUGUGCUUGACUGCGAGACUGACACGUCGAGCAGGUACGAAAGUAGGUCUUAGUGAUCCGGUGGUUCUGUAUGGAAGGGCCAUCGCUCAACGGAUAAAAGGUACUCCGGGGAUAACAGGCUGAUA